rnacentral:lncRNA from 1 species
CCUGACGUCCACACUCCAGUGUAUAGUGCUGUGUUGUGUGUGUACUUGCGUGAGUGAGUGUGUUUGUGUGACAGCAUAUACCAGACGGUGUGUGUGUUCCCUCCCAAUUACAUCCAUAUACAUGCCCAUAAUGGGGACGGACGUGUCAACAAGGGAUCGCCAACAGACAGCUGGACUGUCAUGUUUCAUCAGGACUUUCACUCUCUAGCUCUCCCUCUCUGUCUGUGACUCUCUAGCUCUCCCUCUCUGUCUGUGACUCUCUAUCUCUCCCUCUCUGUCUGUGACUCUCUAUCUCUCCCUCUCUGUCUGUUUGUGACUCUCUAUCUCUCCCUCUCUGUCUGUGACUCUCUAUCUCUCCCUCUCUGUCUGUGACUCUCUAUCUAUCCCUCUCUGUCUGUGACUCUCUAUCUCUCUCUCUGUCUGUCUGUGUGUGACUCUGUCUCUCUCUGUUUGUGUGUCACUCUAUCUCUCUCUCUUUCUCUGUCUGUGACUCUCUAUCUCUCCCUCUCUGUCUGUUUGUGACUCUCUAUCUCUCCCUCUCUGUCUGUGACUCUCUAUCUCUCCCUCUCUGUCUGUUUGUGACUCUCUGUAUCUCCCGGUCUGUCUGUGACUCUAUCUCUCUCUCUCUGUGUGUGACUCUCUAUCUCUCUCUGUCUCUGUGUGUGACUCUCUAUCUCUGUCUGUGUGACUCUAUAUCUCUCUCUGUGUGACUCCAAAUCUCUCUGUCUGUGUGUGACUCUUUAUCUCUCUCUUUGUCUGUUUGUGACUCUCUAUAUCUCUCUCUGUUUGUCUGUGACUCUAUCUCUCUCUGUCUGUGACUCUAUCUCAUUCUCUCUCUCUGUAACUAUGUAUCUAUCUCUCCCUUUCUGUCUGUCUGUGACUCUAUCCCUGUCUCUCCCUCUCUGUCUGUGACUCUCUAUCUCUCACUCUCUGUCUGUCUGUCUGUCUGUCUGUCUGUGACUGUCUAUCUCCCUCUCCGUCUGUCUGUGACUCUCUAUCUAUCUCUGUCUGUCUGUGACUCUAUCUCUCUCUGUCUGUCUGUCUGUCUGUGACUCUAUCUCUCCCUCUCUGUCUGUCUGUGACUCUCUCUCUCUCUCUCUGUGUGUGUCUGUCUUUGACUCUCUCUCUCUCUGUGUGACUCUAUCUCUCUCACUCCCUGUCUGUGUGUGACUCUCUAUCUAUCUCUCUCGCUCUCUGUGUGACUCUCUAUCCAUCUCUCUCUCUCUGUGUGUGACUCUCUAUCUCUCUCUCUCUCUCUGUGUGUGUGACUCUCUAUCUCUCUCUCUCUCUCUGUGUGUGACUCUCUAUCUAUCUCUCUCUCUCUCUGUGUGACUCUCUAUCUAUCUAUCUCUCUCUCUGUGUGACUCUCUAUCUAUCUAUCUCUCUCUCUCUGUGUGUGACUCUCUAUCUCUCUCUCUCUCUCUCUGUGUGUGACUCUCUAUCUCUCUCUCUCUCUCUCUCUGUGUGACUCUCUAUCUAUCUCUCUCUCUCUCUGUGUGACUCUCUAUCUAUCUAUCUCUCUGUCUCUGUGUGACUCUCUAUCUAUCUCUCUCUCUCUCUCUGUGUGUGACUCUCUAUCUAUCUAUCUCUCUCUGUCUCUGUGUGACUCUCUAUCCAUCUCUCUAUUUCCCUCCAGUUUACAGUGAGGCAAGCAGCAGACUUCUUAAGACUCAGCCAGCCGACUUAAUACUUUUACUGCCUUGCCUGACUCACAGCAUGUUAUUGGUGUGUUUUAGGAGGGACUCCUCCUCUUACCUUUUCCUGUCAGGGAGAGUCUGGUUCUGGGCCCUGGGGGGCCUUGUAAACUGACGGGUGUUUUCAUUUCACCCAAGUUCCCUCGGGAAGUCCUUCAUCGCUAAAAAUAUCCCAGGUAUAAGCACCCCAAUGUGUUUAGCAUUCUUCUCAUGACAAAAUAUAGCCACUCACCAACACACUCACACACACCUUACCCCCCUGCUCUGUGAAUGUGUGAAAACAUCGUCCUCUUCAUUGAUGCUUAUUCCCAUUGCCAAUGACUUGGUCUGUAGUGGAGCAAACCACACUGCUGCUAUGAGACAUUAUCAUGGUUAAAUCAAUCAUGAGAUGCCAGCAAAAAUCGGCUUUCCAUUUAUCUGACUUUCUGUUAUCUGACUUUCAUUUAUCU